rnacentral:rRNA from 1 species
UACGGAAGGCAGCAGUGGGGAAUAUUGCACAAUGGGCGCAAGCCUGAUGCAGCCAUGCCGCGUGUAUGAAGAAGGCCUUCGGGUUGUAAAGUACUUUCAGUCGUGAGGAAGGUGUUAAGGUUAAUAACCUUAGCAAUUGACGUUAGCGACAGAAGAAGCACCGGCUAACUCCGUGCCAGCAGCCGCGGUAAUACGGAGGGUGCGAGCGUUAAUCGGAAUUACUGGGCGUAAAGGGCACGCAGGCGGUUAAUUAAGUUGGAUGUGAAAUCCCCGGGCUUAACCUGGGAAUGGCAUUCAAGACUGGUUAGCUAGAGUCUUGUAGAGGGGGUAGAAUUCCAUGUGUAGCGGUGAAAUGCGUAGAGAUGUGGAGGAAUACCGGUGGCGAAGGCGGCCCCUGGGACAAGACUGACGCUCAUGUGCGAAAGCUGGGGAGCAACAGGAUUAGAUACC